rnacentral:rRNA from 1 species
CUCCCGUACCCAUCCCGAACACGGAAGAUAAGCCCGCCUGCGUAUCGGCAACUACUGGAGUGGGAGACCCUCUGGGAACGUCGAUUCGCCGCCCCUA